GAGUUUUAUUCUUGCUUAAUUUAUUUGCUUUUAAAUUAUUUUAUAUGUAAAUUUUUGUGUAAUAUUAAUUUAAUUAUCUGAAUGUUAAUUAAUCUUUAAUUUAUUUAUUCGCAGUAAUAAGUUUUACUAAUUUGUGGAAAUAUUGAUUUGGUAAUUUUAAUUUAUUAUUGGUAAAUUUUGUGCCAGCAUCCGCGGUUAUACAAUUGAUAUAAGUAAAUAUUUUUGGUUACAGUAGUUAAAUUUUAACUUGAGGUUAUUUUUAUUUUUUUAGGUGAAAUUUUAAUAUUUAUUAUUGCUUUAUUUUUUUUUGAAACUAUUAAAUCCUUUAUUUAAACUAGGAUUAGAUACCCUAUUAUUUUGGAUAUAAAUUAUUUUAACUUAGGUAGUAUUAGAUAAGGUCUUGAAACUUAAAGAAUUUGGCGGUAUUUUAGUCUUUUUAGAGGAAUCUGUUCCUUAAUCGAUAAUCCACGUUGAACCUUACCAAGUUUUUUAUAUGUAUACCGCCGUUAUAAUGAAAAUCUUUUUAGGGUUAAUUAAUUUUCUAUAUUUGUUUUAAAGCUUAUUUCAGGUCAAGGUGCAGUUUAUAAUUUGGUGGAUAUGGAUUACAUUUAUAUUUAUUAUUGAAUUAUUAAUUGAAAUUUUUUUAUGAAAUUGGAUUUAAUUGUAAUUUUUUGUAGAUUGUUUAAAUGAUUUAGCUCUAAAAUAUGUACACAUCGCCCGUCACUCUCAUUUUUAAUUGAGAUAAGUCGUAACAUAGUGGUUGUACCGGAAGGUGUAGCUGGAAUGUAUUUUAAUA
rnacentral:ncRNA from 1 species